AUGGGUUCCCGUGCAGUUGGCCUUCUCAGGUGCAGUUAUGUGGUUGCUUAGGUGCGUAUUUUUCCUUCUUAAGAUGCGUGGUUUGUGUUCUUAAGGUGCGUA